rnacentral:lncRNA from 1 species
CCUGGUCAUUCCUGACUUUUUGUUCUCCCAUCUAAACUUUAGAAUUUUUUUCUAGUUCCAUUUGAAAAAAAAAAAAAAGCAUUCACUCAAGUGAAAAUGCACGAACUCUAAAAUUAAUGGGAAGAAUGACCAUCUUUAUAAUAUGCACUUUGGAACUGUUCCCAUCUCCAGAUACAAUUAGAGGAAAGCACUGACCCCAUCCCAAGUCAAGCCUUGAGCCUGCAGAUUCCUGAUGGUAGGAGUGAGGGUCCUGCCCUCAGGACCCGCUGGAGGGUAGAACAGGUGGGUUGAUGUCUGCUAUAUUUCCUCUUGGGCCAACGCACUUCAGUAAAUGGUCUCUAUUUUAGAAGCCCAAAUAUCAAGAGGACUUUAGAGGACUGGACUAGGAUAUCCUGAGACUCAAAGCAUUAACAAGAUCAUGAUGCCCAUUGCCAUAAGUAAUUUAAAAGAUUUGUUUUUCAAUGACACAAAACCUCAUGUAUGCUGUGAUCUAGCUAUUCUAAUUUGGGGAACUUUCUGACAUUACUAAAAACCAAACUUCUUUGUAUUUUAGUGAAUUUCUGUGUAUCCAUUUGGGGGUGGGAGGGCUUGUUUUUCUCUUUUCUUUACAUAUUUAGCCCUCCUGUGGGGUAUUCUACCUAUAUGCAGAUUAGAAAACAACCAAGGAAAGCUAGAUUUUCUUUUUCUACCUGGGUCUCUGACUGACCUAACCAGUUGCAUCUAUUUCAGAAUGGAAACAAUUUGUACCAACAACAAACCUUAAUUAAUAAAUCCAAAAUAGAUAAAGUUUCAUAUGCUGUGCUUUGGAAAAUAACUUAUUUCUGAAUGUGAGUCAUUCUAAGAACAAACUCUAAUUGAUCAUGUAAAUUCAGCCUAUACAAAUUUGUGUUAAAUAUCAUUACUUAAUAAACUUCUUAACCACCUUCCUGAUUUUGAGCCUGCUUUCAAAUUUUAAUUAGAUGUAAUGAUCAGACAGUUAUAAAAUGCUAACAUUCAAAGAGGAAUUGAUGUACAUAGUUUUCACCCUAAUAUUUGGGACCUGCCAUUCUGGAUUCCAAAUGUAACCUGUGCAUGGUUUCUUAGGACUCACUGGGUGUGUAUCGUCUAAGGACUCUAAACGUAAUGCAUGUAAUAGUUACAUUCAUAGGAUGGCUAUGUAAUUUUAUUAACCAAACUAGUAAGCUUCAAAAUGCAAACUAUAAUACAUACAAGUUGUAGCCUGUAGUUGUUUCCAGAAUCAGACUUUUAAAGUUAAAAUUCUCAUUGUUUUUAAUUCAGAUAUCUUUUACUCUGGACUAAGAGGCAAUCCUCCCCAUUCUUGGUGUUUAACAGGAGGCAGCGACUUUAGAAUUCUCUCCCAUUUCAAGUGCCCACAAAACUGCUAUUGCUGCUUACAAAAGUUGUGCAUAAGCCUGGAUACAAAACAAACCCUAUGGGGAAAGAAAAAAAAAAACGGGUCGAUGAAUUCACCCAAGUGCAAAUUACCUCAAGAUUCAUUUUUCCCUUUUUGUAGAACUAACAAGUGAAUCUUACUGAGUUGGGACCAAAGAAACCCACUGAAGUGAGCCUUUAAGAGACAUUUGUGCUGGUGAUGACAGCAUUUUCAUGGUAAUUUGUUAAUGUUCUUGCAAAGCAGGGGUAAUUUACUCCAGUAAAAUCUAGCUAAUAGCCUUGUAGAUUUGAGGCCUUCAACCAAGGGCCACAUGCAGGCCUUGGGCGGCCUAGUGCCUGUAGGACUGCAUAACCACCAGAAGAUCUCACACCUGACCUCCUGGCUCACACCUGACCUCCUGGCUGACUCCCUUUCUCAGCCUCACACCACCGUCACAUCUCAGAUCCAGUUCCCAGUAUGGGACGUCCAAUUGGUGUUAAAGGGAGCAGGGAGCUUGGGAAGGGGCAGGGCAGAAGGCACAGCAUUUGUGAGUGUUAAACUCAGGAAGGCAUGAACCUUCAAGCUCUCUUUUUUGGAGGCAGGCUUUAACACAAAGAAAAGAAAAUGAUGUGUAAAAACAUACAUCAAUAUCAUUCAUUUUCUUUUCUGAUUAUAAAAAUAAUACACAUUCAUUAUAGAUUUUUGAAAAACAGAAAGACCUCCAAAUGGGGACAAAAGCACCAAUAAUUGUAUCUAGACAUCUUGAUGCAGUUCCUGCCAGUUUUUCUCCAUGCAGACUUUAAUUACUUUAUGCAAAUUUAUUGUGUAUGAAUACUUUUUUAAGAAAAUCUGAUUUUUUGGCCACAUAAUAUCACUAUUUGUAUGCACUGUAAGUUAUAAAAUGUUUCCAUUAUUAGACAAUAUAGGUGAUUUCCAUUAUUGCAUAACUAUAAAUAACAUAGCAGUGAACAUCCUUAUACAGAAAUCUUGGUCUCCCACUCUAAUUAGGUUUUUAAGAUAGAUUCUCAGAAGGGAUAAGUGGAAUCAACGGGCAUGGAUGUUUCAACAUAUUUGAUACAUAAAAUCAAGUCAAAUUGCUCUGCAGAAAAGCCACAUCGAUUAGACAGUGUGUUCAGCCACGUGGUAGGAGAGGCCUUUAUUAAUGCACUUUCACCAACAUUGAGUUUUUAAUCUGUGCUAAUUUGACUGGUAAAAUGACAGAUCGAAAGUCACAUUUUCAGUUUAUGUGUACAAAAGUUAUUAUAUAUAGCUCAGUUUGCUCAUAAAAUUAACAUAUUUGGGCCAUUUAGAAAGCCAUAAAAUGAGUCACUGAAUACCAAAAGUGACUUCAAAGAGCAUGGAAUAUACUGAAGGCGAAAUUGUUUGCCCAGGCCACUCUGUAGUGAUGAACUCAGGACUAAAACCCAAGAAUUCUAUUUCCCAUCCCAGCGUUCCUAAGAAGAGAUUUUUAGUAAGAUAGAACCUGCUUUAAAAUGCAGAAAGAAUGGAGAGGCGGAGGAGACUUUUAACUGUGGUUUGAUAAAGCUGUUUUCCUCACUAAUUUUUCAAUGCUUUCACACUGUCCGAGGCUGGUGGUCCUGACAUCUGGCAGCUUUUUAACCUUAACUUUUGGAGGGGAAAAGUCAAGAAAUACAAAGUUGUUUCAGAAUUAACCAAAGCAAAGUAUCACUAGGAAGCUCAGUCCAUUCCGAAGAUAUCUCAAGAGACCAUCUAUAAUAAAAUAUAAAUGACUCCUCGUGGUCUCUACCCGAGUUGUCUGUGAUUCAUUCAUGGUGAGAACAUGAAGGUAUAAAGGCCACAACUAAAGAUUUUGCUUGUUACCACGCCUUUAAAACUUCCUUUUUAAUUUUUUACAUGCAAUUCUCAAUUCUUCCCAAUGAGAGAAAGGAUCUUUGUCCCCUCCCCUUGAAUCUGGGCAGGUUUGUGACUGCUUUGACCAAUAGAGUAUGGAAGUGGUGCUAUGUGAUUUCCGAGUCUAGGUGAUAAAAGGCAAUGCAUCUUCCUCCUUCUCUUUUGGGAACACUUGUUCUUGGAGAUAUUAGCCAACCUGUGAGAAGCACCAAUACCCUGAGGCCAUUAUGAGGAAGUUCACACCACAGAGAGAGACCCUGAGUAGAUGUGCUGAUUUACAGUUCCAGCUGAAUGCAGCCUUUGAAUCACCCCAGCCCAGGUGCCAAACAUGUGAGAGAAGAAGCUUCCAGAUCAUUCCAGUCCCCAGCCAUCUGAGUCAACUUCAGCCUUUGUGUCUGCCCAGUGAAUGCCUCAGACAUCAUGAAGCAGAAGCAAGUCAUCCUUACUGUGCUCUGUCUGAAUUCCUGACUCACACAAUUAAUGAGCAUAAUAAAAUGAUUGUUGUUUUAUACUCCUGUGUUCUGGGGCAUUUGUUGUGCAGCAAAAAAG